rnacentral:rRNA from 1 species
UGUGACCUCAAAUCAGGUAGGACUACCCGCUGAACUUAAGCAUAUCAAUAAGCGGAGGAAAAGAAACUAACAAGGAUUCCCCUAGUAACUGCGAGUGAAGCGGGAAAAGCUCAAAUUUAAAAUCUGGCAGUCUUUUUGGCUGUCCGAGUUGUAAUCUAGAGAAGUGUUAUCCGCGCUGGACC